rnacentral:rRNA from 1 species
CCUACGGGAGGCAGCAGUAGGGAAUCUUCCACAAUGGGCGAAAGCCUGAUGGAGCAACGCCGCGUGGGUGAAGGCCUUCGGGUUGUAAACUGCUUUUAUAAGCGAGAAAUAUGAUUGUAACUUAUGCAUAAGACUCGGCUAACUACGUGCCAGCAGCCGCGGUCAUACGUAGGAUCCGAGCAUUAUCCGGAGUGACUGGGUGUAAAGAGUUGCGUAGGUGGCAUAAUAAGUAGCUAGUGAAAUCUGGUGGCUCAACAAUUCAGACUAUUAGCUAAACUGUUAAGCUCGAGACCGUUAGGGGUAACUGGAAUUUCUAGUGUAGGAGUGAAAUCCGUAGAUAUUAGAAGGAACACCAAUAGCGUAGGCAGGUUGCUGGGACGGGUCUGACACUAAGGCACGAAAGCGUAGGGAGCAAACGGGAUUAGAUACCCCUGUAGUC